rnacentral:rRNA from 1 species
GACGAACGCUGGCGGCGUGCUUAACACAUGCAAGUCGAACGGAAAGGCCCUGCUUUUGUGGGGUGCUCGAGUGUCGAACGGGUGAGUAACACGUGAGUAACCUGCCCUUGACUUUGGGAUAACUUCAGGAAACUGGGGCUAAUACCGGAUAGGAGCUCCUGCUGCAUGGUGGGGGUUGGAAAGUUUCGGCGGUUGGGGAUGGACUCGCGGCUUAUCAGCUUGUUGGUGGGGUAGUGGCUUACCAAGGCUUUGACGGGUAGCCGGCCUGAGAGGGUGACCGGCCCCAUUGGGACUGAGAUACGGGCAAGACGCCUACGGGAGGAAGCAGUGGGGAAUAUUGCACAAUGGGCGGAAGCCUGAUGCAGAAACGCCGCGUGCGGGAUGACGGCCUUCGGGUUGUAACCCGCUUUCGCCUGUGACGAAGCGUGAGUGACGGUAAUGGGUAAAGAAGCACCGGCUAACUACGUG